rnacentral:rRNA from 1 species
UGGGGAAUUUUCCGCAAUGGGCGCAAGCCUGACGGAGCAAUACCGCGUGAGGGAGGAAGGCUCUUGGGUCGUAAACCUCUUUUCUCAGGGAAGAACACAAUGACGGUACCUGAGGAAUCAGCAUCGGCUAACUCCGUGCCAGCAGCCGCGGUAAUACGGAGGAUGCAAGCGUUAUCCGGAAUGAUUGGGCGUAAAGCGUCCGUAGGUGGUUUUGUAAGUCUGUGGUUAAAGCGUGUAGCUCAACUACAUAACGGCCAUGGAAACUACAUAACUUGAGUGAAGUAGGGGUAGAGGGAAUUCCCAGUGUAGCGGUGAAAUGCGUAGAGAUUGGGAAGAACACCGGUGGCGAAAGCGCUCUACUGGACUUAUACUGACACUGAGGGACGAAAGCUAGGGGAGCGAAUGGGAUUAGAUACCCCAGUAGUC